CCUACGGGGGGCAGCAGUGGGGAAUAUUGCACAAUGGGCGCAAGCCUGAUGCAGCCAUGCCGCGUGUGUGAAGAAGGCCUUCGGGUUGUGAAGCACUUUCAGCGGGGAGGAAGGCGUUAAGGUUAAUAACCUUGGCGAUUGACGUUACCCGCAGAAGAAGCACCGGCUAACUCCGUGCCAGCAGCCGCGGUAAUACGGAGGGUGCAAGCGUUAGUCGGAAUUACUGGGCGUAAAGCGCACGCAGGCGGUCUGUCAAGUCGGAUGUGAAAUCCCCGGGCUCAACCUGGGAACUGCAUUCGAAACUGGCAGGCUAGAGUCUUGUAGAGGGGGGUAGAAUUCCAGGUGUAGCGGUGAAAUGCGUAGAGAUCUGGAGGAAUACCGGUGGCGAAGGCGGCCCCCUGGACAAAGACUGACGCUCAGGUGCGAAAGCGUGGGAAGCAAACAGGAUUAGAUACCCGGGUAGUC
rnacentral:rRNA from 1 species